rnacentral:rRNA from 1 species
UACAGAGGGUGCAAGCGUUAAUCGGAAUUCUGGGCGUAAAGCGUGCGUAGACGGUUGCGUAAGUCAGAUGUGAAAGCCCCGGGCUCAACCUGGGAAUUGCAUUUGAGACUGCGUAGCUAGGGUGCGGAAGAGGGAAGCGGAAUUUCCGGUGUAGCGGUGAAAUGCGUAGAUAUCGGAAGGAACACCAGUGGCGAAAGCGGCUUCCUGGUCCAGCACCGACGUUCAGGCACGAAAGCGUGGGGAGCAAACAGG